rnacentral:rRNA from 1 species
CAAAGGCUUGGUCCUGACCUUACUGUCGACUUUAGCUAAACUUACACAUGCAAGUCUCCGCCCCCCCGUGAGAAUGCCCUACAGUUCCUCUGCCCGGAACAAGGAGCGGGUAUCAGGCACACCCAGUGUAGCCCACAACACCUUGCUUAGCCACACCCCCAAGGGAUUCCAGCAGUGAUAAAUAUUAAGCAAUAAGUGAAAACUUGACUUAGUUAAAGCUUAGAGGGCCGGUAAAACUCGUGCCAGCCACCGCGGUUAUACGGGUGGCCCAAGCUGACAGCCCUUCGGCGUAAAGCGUGGUUAAUAGCUCUAUUAUACUAAAGCCGAAUGCCCCCUAAGCUGUAAUACGCUCUUGGGUGCUAGAAGCCCUAUUACGAAAGUAGCUUUAUAGUAUUGAACCCACGAAAGCUAGGAUACAAACUGGGAUUAGAUACCCCACUAUGCCUAACCAUAAACUUAGAUGGUAAAUUACUUAUACCAUCCGCCGGGGAACUACGAGCAUUAGCUUAAAACCCAAAGGACUUGGCGGUGCUUAAUAACCCC